AACGAACGCUGGCGGCAGGCUUAACACAUGCAAGUCGAACGCACCCUUCGGGGUGAGUGGCAGACGGGUGAGUAACGCGUGGGAACGUGCCCUUCAGUUCGGAAUAACCCAGGGAAACUUGGGCUAAUACCGGAUACGCCCGAAAGGGGAAAGAUUGAUUGCUGAAGGAUCGGCCCGCGUCUGAUUAGCUGGUUGGUAGGGUAAUGGCCUACCAAGGCGACGAUCAGUAGCUGGUCUGAGAGGAUGAUCAGCCACACUGGGACUGAGACACGGCCCAGACUCCUACGGGAGGCAGCAGUGGGGAAUAUUGGACAAUGGGCGCAAGCCUGAUCCAGCCAUGCCGCGUGAGUGAUGACGGCCUUAGGGUUGUAAAGCUCUUUCGGCGGGGACGAUAAUGACGGUACCCGCAGAAGAAGCCCCGGCUAACUUCGUGCCAGCCGCCGCCGUAACAC
rnacentral:rRNA from 1 species